AGCUGUGAGAUAUCGGUGGGCGAGGAUGUGAUGCCUGAAGAUGUGGCAUCUACCUUGAAACAGUCAAGGACCUGAGGAUGAAGCCAGCGUCUGAGGAAUAUAGACAGAAAGGAUCUAGAUACAUCAUGAGUCUAGGGAAGAAUAUCAAGUUAAACUUUAUGAAGUCCAAGACAAUGGGAAAAGAAGAGGUGUUCCUGUCCAGGCCCUCUUCCAGUUAGAAGGUGAUGGUUUCCAGAAGUCUGCACCUGUAUUUCAAUUACCUAUAAUGGAGUUUAUAGGACUAAACUAUAUUCACUAUAUUUUCUUAUUUUCGUGUGUGUGUUUGAUGUGCUGGCAACUGGGGACUUGGUAACUGGGGAGGGAUAGCUCUUCUCAGGAAGAGCUAAUUCUUAGAGAUAGAGGGAGCAUGCUUUUCAUAUGCAAACUACUCAAACUGGAGUCCACACUUCCCCAACCUCCUCUAUAGGAUUCGUACUCUCCUGCCCGAUAUUCCCUUGCUCUAAUCAUCUUGGGGCCAGGUACCAG
rnacentral:lncRNA from 1 species